rnacentral:rRNA from 1 species
AACGAACGCUGGCGGCAUGCCUAACACAUGCAAGUCGAACGAGACCCUCGGGUCUAGUGGCGCACGGGUGCGUAACGCGUGGGAACCUGCCCUUAGGUUCGGAAUAACUCCCCGAAAGGGGUGCUAAUACCGGAUAAUGUCUUCGGACCAAAGAUUUAUCGCCUUUGGAUGGGCCCGCGUUGGAUUAGCUAGUUGGUAGGGUAAAAGCCUACCAAGGCGACGAUCCAUAGCUGGUCUGAGAGGAGGAUCAGCCACACUGGGACUGAGACACGGCCCAGACUCCUACGGGAGGCAGCAGUGGGGAAUAUUGGACAAUGGGCGAAAGCCUGAUCCAGCAAUGCCGCGUGAGUGAUGAAGGCCUUAGGGUUGUAAAGCUCUGUUACCCGGGAUGAUAAUGACAGUACCGGGAGAAUAAGCUCCGGCUAACUCCGU